UUGGAUCACCUCCUAACAGGGAGACAACAACUGAUCGUGAUGUCUGAGUGCUUUUAUUCUCAGGCCAUGAUCCUGUCAUCUCGAAGGUCGAUCGGUACCUCAAUUUCAAGCCUUAGAUGAGAAGUUCACUAGUUGAGCUGAUCAUGCUGAGAUAUUGAUUUUCAGUUUCUAAACGUUGUCUAGGUCACCCCAUAGAGGGUUCACUUCCUGGGCCAUUAGCUCAGGUGGUUAGAGCGCACCCCUGAUAAGGGUGAGGUCCCUGGUUCAAGUCCAGGAUGGCCCAUUCGGUGUUGGGGGUUUAGCUCAGUUGGUAGAGCGCCUGCUUUGCAAGCAGGAUGUCAGGAGUUCGAGUCUCCUAACCUCCACUGACCGAACUUUGUCCCCAGCUUCAUUUGAUGGAGUUGAGCUCGAUUGGAGUGUGAUUUAGAUGUGUCCGCUGGAAGACCCCAGCUUCCUGUCAUUCUAAGGAUUGAUCGAAUCAAUUUUUAGUUGAUAAGAUGCUGGGCUCGAACUGAGCAAUCAGUUUGGAGUUCUAGCAGAACCUUGACAACUGCAUAGGUGAGUCUGGAAAGAAUAAAGCAUCUCAUGGAUGAUGCGAUGACUCUAAAUAAUGAUCCAAAAGGAUGAUUAAGAGGAGUGAUUGCGAAUUCUAUAGAGCAAGAGCCGAGACUCCAUCACGUUCUUUUGAUUGUGUCGAGCAAUCAAGAGUUUGAUUCUUGAUUCAGCAAUGAAUCAGGGAAAAUCUGUUUCAACGACAGCAAGCGUGUUGGAGAUUAUAUGGUCAAGCUACAAAGGGCUCACGGCGGAUACCUUGGCACACAGAGGCGAUGAAGGA
rnacentral:tRNA from 1 species